rnacentral:lncRNA from 1 species
AGACAACACCUCCUCCAGCCUCCUCAUAUACCCGGUUGGUAUGCCCCGCAUUUGUGGUCUCCUCUCUUGGCUUUGGAGCCCCCCUCCCUCUGUCUCUGUACGGGGGUGCCUUCUUCUUUUCUUCUUCUCCCUUCUUUCUUGCCUAUUAAACUCUCCACUUCUUAAUACCACUA